CGGACGGGUGAGUAAUGUCUGGGAAACGGCCCGAUGGAGGGGGAUAACUACUGGAAACGGUAGCUAAUACCGCAUAACGUCGCAAGACCAAAGAGGGGGACCUUCGGGCCUCUUGCCAUCGGAUGUGCCCAGAUGGGAUUAGCUAGUAGGUGGGGUAACGGCUCACCUAGGCGACGAUCCCUAGCUGGUCUGAGAGGAUGACCAGCCACACUGGAACUGAGACACGGUCCAG
rnacentral:rRNA from 1 species